rnacentral:rRNA from 1 species
GAUGAACGCUGGCGGCGUGCCUAAUACAUGCAAGUCGAGCGAAAAGACGAGGAGCUUGCGCCUCGGACGUUAGCGGAGGACGGGAGAGUAACACGUGGAUAACCUACCUAUAAGACUGGGAUAAUUUCGGGAAACCGGAGCUAAUACCGGAGAAUAUAUUGAACCGCAUGGUGCAAUGGUGAAAGACGGUGUUGCGGUCACUAAUAGAGGGAUCCGAGCUGCAUUAGCUAGUUGGUAAGGUAACGGGUUAGCAAGGCAACGAUGCGUAGCCGACCUGAGAGGGGGAUCGCCGGCCUUGGAACUGAGACAGCGUCCAUAGUCCUACGGGAGGCCGCAGAAGGGAAUCGGCGGCAACGGGCGGAAGCCUGACGGAGCAACGCGACGCGAGUGAUGAAGGUCUCCGGAUCGUAAAGCCCUGCUUCGAGUGAAGAACAGCUUUGGACGUAGCUAAGCACGUCGUGACGGUACCUAAUCAGAAAGCCCCGGCUAACUACGUG